rnacentral:rRNA from 1 species
CACGUAGGGUGCGAGCGUUGUCCGGAAUUAUUGGGCGUAAAGAGCUCGUAGGCGGCCAGGUAGGUCGGUUGUGAAAACUGGAGGCUCAACCUUCAGAGGUCGACCGAAACCAUCUGGCUAGAGUCCGGGAGAGGAGAGUGGAAUUCCUGGUGUAGCGGUGAAAUGCGCAGAUAUCAGGAAGAACACCCGUGGCGAAAGCGGCUCUCUGGAACGGUACUGACGCUGAGACGCGAAAGCGUGGGGAGCGAACAGG